rnacentral:lncRNA from 1 species
GCCCACUCGAGAGCCCCGACGACCGCAGAUCCGAGCUGGUCGUCACUCCACCGCUGAGUGAGCCCCCGCACCGGCCCGCAUCUCCUCUGUUGCUCGUGCCGCGCCACCACCAGGGUUCCCCUCGCCCGCGAGCAGCUACGCCGACCGCCGUGCAGCCCUCGCCCUACCUUCGAUGCCUCCACCCGACGACCCGCGAAGCACAUCUCCAAGGCCCGACACCAUCUCAGCCGCGAAGCCGUCGCUUCGCUCGCGAUCCGGAGCCCAGAUCCCGAUUCCUCUCUGCUGCAAGCCGUAAGCAGCUCUCUGCCCCUGCCUUCGCCGGUGGACCACUGCCACCUGACGCCAGCAGCCAAGCAAUCGCCGGCACCGCGACGACACCCUGCGACGCUGCUGCUUCUGCCAGAUCUGCCGCCCCAACAGCAAAACUUGACGCCUGCAGAGCCUCCGACCAGCGACCCGACGCCUCCGCCGUGCUGCUCUGCCGUAUCUGACCCGACGCCACAGCAAAAAACCAGCACCGGCGCCUGCUGCAGCCACAGCCGACCCCGAUCCUCUGCCCGAGCCCGAGUUGAGUUGCUCCGCUCUCUGCCCGAGCCCGAGCCGCCUAGCUCCGUCUCUGCUCCGACGCACCACCGCUCUGCUGUGCCCUCGCCGGAGCUCUGACGCCGGCCAUCCUCCGCCCGGCGC